GGGCGCCGCAGCGGACCUGCGGCUGCGAGGACGGGGCGGGCCGGGACCCGGGGGCGGCGGGGACGGGCGAGGACGGACGGGGACACGUCCCGCCCCGAGGGAACCGCCCGAGGCUGCGACCCAGCACAGGGCCCGGGGGCUGCCCCGCGAGGAAGCCCAGGUUUAUGCGGAAGGUGAACACCGCUGCCCGCCGGGCUACGACCCCAGCCCCUGAGUCCGGUGGGGCAGCGGGAAGGGGGGAGAUUUGAAUAGAGUCACCGCGGGGGGGACGGGACGGAGGAGGAAGCCGGCACCUCCGGCCCGCAAGGCCCCUGCAGGGUCCUGCCCCGGCUGCACGGAGGGACGGACGCGAGACAGGAGGGGCGUGCGAGGGCCAGAUCUGUCCCCAGGUCCCCCUGUUCCCAGGGCGCGGCCCAGCAGAGCCUCUUCCUCCCCAGUUCCCAGGCUCCUCCUCCCUCCCAGGUGAAAACCCUGUUUCUAUUUCUUCAGGGCCAGCAUCCUGAGCCCCACCUGCAGGCCCUGGGCGCUUUCCUCCUGGCAGCUGUGCCCCCACCCGACCGGACCGCUCCCUGCAACCAGAGAGCCCUCACACCAGCAACACCCCCCAGCCUGCUCCCUCCUCGUGUGCGCGAAACUCAUGGCACUGGCUUGACGGCUUUCUCUGAAACCCUCUGAUUCCGCCUGGCCCAUCCACACUGUCCCUUCCCGGCCAGGGCUCAUCUCCUAUGCCUGGACCAAACAGCGUAGUCUCCAGUCUCCCUGAUCUCCCCACACGUGGCCCCACCCAUCCUCUGAAGCAGCCCCAGGAGGCAGCAGUGACUUCACACUUCUAGUGCCCGGCCCUCCCGGCCCUCCUCUCUGGGCUUGCUUGCCAGGGUCCUCCCAACCUGACUGCUGCCUCCCACCUCCUCUCCGCCCCUGGAGCUCUCCAGCCGCAGCCGCGGGGCCUGCUUGGGAUUCUCCUCUGCUGGCAUCAUCCCUGCCUGCCUCAGCCUUCCCAGGCCCAAUCCUGCCCGAUCUCACCUCUUCCCGCCCAGCCACCUGGUCGGGUCCCGACCAGCAUCUGCCUUCAAACCUGGAGUCCUUCCCUGAGUGCUUGCGGUGCACUGUGAGGAAGGAAAUCAAUGUAAAGGAUUAUGACCCACAUUUUUUAAAAAUAAAAAGAUUAAGGAGAACAGCA
rnacentral:lncRNA from 1 species